rnacentral:rRNA from 1 species
AUUGAACGCUGGCGGCAUGCCUUACACAUGCAAGUCGAACGGUAACAGGUCUUCGGAUGCUGACGAGUGGCGAACGGGUGAGUAAUACAUCGGAACGUGCCUAGUAGUGGGGGAUAACUACUCGAAAGAGUGGCUAAUACCGCAUGAGAUCUACGGAUGAAAGCAGGGGAUCGCAAGACCUUGUGCUACUAGAGCGGCCGAUGGCAGAUUAGGUAGUUGGUGGGAUAAAAGCUUACCAAGCCGACGAUCUGUAGCUGGUCUGAGAGGACGAUCAGCAACACUGGGACUGAGACACGGCCCAGACUCCUACGGGAGGCAGAAGUGGGGAAUUUUGGACAAUGGGCGAAAGCCUGAUCUAGCAAUGCCGCGUGCAGGAUGAAGGCCUUCGGGUUGUAAACUGCUUUUGUACGGAACGAAAAGCCCCGGGUUAAUACCCUGGGGUCAUGACGGUACCGUAAGAAUAAGCACCGGCUAACUACGUGCCAGCCGCCGCAGUAA